GACGGAGGAUGCAAGUGUUAUCCGGAAUCACUGGGCGUAAAGCGUCUGUAGGUGGUUUAAAAAGUCCACUGUUAAAGAUUGAAGCUUAACUUCAAAAAUGCCGUGGAAACUUUUAAACUUGAGUAUGAUAGGGGUAGAGGGAAUUUCCAGUGGAGCGGUGAAAUGCGUAGAGAUCUGGAGGAACACCAAAGGCGAAGGCAGUGUCCUGGGAGGCACCUGACGCUCAGGCGCGAAAGCCAGGGGAGCGGAACGGG
rnacentral:rRNA from 1 species